rnacentral:rRNA from 1 species
GACGAACGCUGGCGGCGUGCUUAACACAUGCAAGUCGAACGGAAAGGCCCUGCUUUUGUGGGGUGCUCGAGUGGCGAACGCGUGAGUAACACGUGAGUAACCUGCCCUUGACUUUGGGAUAACUUCAGGAAACUGGGGCUAAUACCGGAUAGGAGCUCCUGCAGCAUGGUGGGGGUGGGAAAUUUUCGGCGGUUGGGGAUGGAUUCGCGGCUUAUCAGUUUGUUGGUGGGGUAGUGGAUUACCAAGGCAUUGACGGGUAGCCGGCCUGAGAGGGUGACCGGCCACAUUGGGACUGAGAUACGGCCCAGAGUCCUACGGGAGGCAGCAGUGGGGAAUCUUGCACAAUGGGCGGACGCCUGAUGCAGAGACGCCGCGUGCGGGAUGACGGCCUUCGGGUUGUAAACCGCUUUCGCCUGUGACGAAGCGUGAGUGACGGUAAUGGGUAAAGAAGCACCGGCUAACUACGUG